CAAGUAGUACAUAUGAUAGAGACUAUACUAUCUUGGCAAGGAGACAAGUGGCAUUCUAGCCAACUCCUAUUUCCCUUUCUUCUCUCCUCCCUUCUCAAUUCAUGCUUCCACAAGACACCAAGCAUGGACAACCAUGUACCUACAAAUGAAACACCAAAAAGGGAUAUGAGAAGUAGGCUUCACAAGACUCAAGGUGGGAGACUUCUUCAAGAUAGUAAGUAUGUGAAUCUAUGCAAUACAUCAUCAAUCUUCAAAAAAAAGAAAAAGGACAAGAAUGACCAAGGAGUGAGAUCAUCCCUAAGGCCUUUUAGAGGCAACAAUGUACUCUCUUUCCCCUCAACCGAGGCUGAGAUAACAGCCAAGAGGGGCAGCCCCUAGGCCUGCAAAUCACACAAAAAUGGGGUUAGAAAAAUAGACUUAUAAGAAAGGAAGAGGAGGGGGCCAGCUCGAUUGAACAUGGAGAGUAAACAGGCUGAGUUGUACAGCCAAGAGGCUGCUCAGGCAGUAAGACAGCCAUUUUGUCACAGUCCCCUCUUACACCAAAGUAGAGGUUAGGACAAAGGAGCAUUGUAGAAUGAACCCAAUGUUCAUACUCAAAAUGAGCAUGAAUCAGAUCCCUUUUUCCGUCACCAAGGCUGGGAGAAAACUGCCAAGGAGGGCAGCCCCAAACAUUCAUCAACUUAGUAAGAGUAGCAGUAUCACAAAGCUCGAAAGGGAGCUAAGGAACAGCCCAAAAUUAGCAUCACCGCCUCCCAAAAAUUAGACACAAAAUGCGAAGGAGUUUUGGCUAUAAAUACCAGCCCCACCACCAUCUCCUUCCUCACACCUCUCAACAUUCACAAAUCACAAGAAGUGCAGCAAGAGAGGAAGGAGUGGCGGCGAGCUUAAGGGCAGUCCGGUGUUCGAAGGAGUCAUCGAGAAAGAGGUAAAACACUAGCACACCCUCUGCUUUUGUUUCGAACAUCAUACUAGGUCCAAGAACAUAGAAUCAUGGCUGUAGAAAUCUCAUGACAGUAGCAACUCUUAGAACAAGUAGCAGUUGAAGUCCCCAAUAUAAUGAACUCAUUUCAGUGAGCUAACAAUCCUCCCAAAAGUCAUAACUUGCUUCACAAGAUGCAAAUGGAACUCUCAACAUGUUACUGCCAUAACUCAAUUGAAAAAAAAAGUAGAAGGGAAAGGGGGGAGACUUAGCUUUAGGCCAAGAAUAAGCCGACAAGGCGAGCCGGGACGCGGAGGCGACGAGGGGCUGUCCGGCAAGGAUCGGACGACGGCGGAACCCCGGACAGCAGACAGAGGCGGUGAAAUGGCAGCUGGCAGCGGGAACUCCACUCACCGAGUACCCGAAGCGGGGACGGCGGCGCUGCAAAACCGUCGGGGGGCCGCUGCAUCCCAGAGAGCUCGGCGUGAGAGGAAGAGCUCAGGAAUCGAUGAGCUGCUGUCUGAGAUGACGACGAGAGGAAGAGCGCUGGAUGGAGGGCGCUAGACGAAGGGCGUGAACUCGCUGGAGAGGGCCAGGGAUGUAUGAUUUUGAGAGUAAAUGGGAGCUGGCUUUGUUGUGGCCCGGUGGCUUCAUGAAUACUAAUAGGAUUAAACGCGCUAUAUACAGAGCUAAAGAAAGCAAUGGCAUUCGCAGUUUCAGAAAGGUUGAGCAGUGAUGACGGCGGGUGGUGUUGAACAUAGACGAUGAAGAUCCUUCGAUAGAAUAGUACUCGGAUGCGACGUGUCUCCAUACAUGACGUUAUAUGCUCUUGACUCUUCCGCUGCAAUGUAAAAGUCGAGUUUGCUCUCCUUGUAUCGUGCACUCUGAUAUAUAUUAUUUGAGUUAUUUCGGUUCAACU